rnacentral:rRNA from 1 species
UAGGGAAUCUUCCGCAAUGGACGCAAGUCUGACGGAGCAACGCCGCGUGAGUGAAGAAGGAUUUCGGUUCGUAAAACUCUGUUGUUAGAGAAGAACAGCGCAUAGAGUAACUGUUAUGCGUGUGACGGUAUCUAACCAGAAAGCCACGGCUAACUACGUGCCAGCAGCCGCGGUAAUACGUAGGUGGCAAGCGUUGUCCGGAUUUAUUGGGCGUAAAGCGAGCGCAGGCGGUCAAUUAAGUCUGAUGUGAAAGCCCCCGGCUCAACCGGGGAGGGUCAUUGGAAACUGGUUGACUUGAGUGCAGAAGAGGAGAGUGGAAUUCCAUGUGUAGCGAUGAAAUGCGUAGUUAUAUGGAGGAACACCAGUGGCGAAGGCGACUCUCUGGUCUGUAACUGACGCUGAGGCUCGAAAGCGUGGGUAGCAAACAGG